GCUGGGCGUGGUGGCACACGCCUGUGAUCCCAGUGACUCAGGAGGCCGAGGCAGGAGGAUCUCGAGUUCAAAGCCAGCCUCAG
rnacentral:sRNA from 1 species